GAAAGAAUAAAGAGUGAAGAUUAUGUUACGUGAAAGACAAGGACAGGGAGAGGCUCCACGCCCACAUCAAGGGCCAUCUGCAAGAAUAGAAUGUUUAGAAAGAAAAUUGCGUUAAUUCCACCUGAGACAAUCAGAAUCGCCCGUUCCUCCACACCAAGCUACAAAUAUCUCUUAUAUAAUAACUAUGUCAUUUAAAAGUGAAGGGAGUAUAAAUUAACAUCCAACAAGCGCGACGAAGGGGAAGAAAGAUAAAGGAAGAUAACCCAAAGAAGAAAUUAAAAUAGCAGUAUUACAAAGUUUCAUUAGUCCGGAUGUAUACAAACUCUUGAGUGAUUUGAGCCUAAACAGAAUGCCAGCUCAUAUGUGCAGUUCAUGUGAGGUGACAGAAAUGUUAUAGGUAACUCUUUGGCAUAUAAAAAUACCCAAUAAACAAGCAGCAACAAAUCACAAGCAGAGAGAACUUUUCAAACAAGAAUUCAGCCAAUAAAAGAAAAGCAAUAAGAUGCCAUAUAGACCAUCAAACAAAAUUGAGAUAAGGUGGUCAAAGAGUACAAAUAAGAGGACCAAAAGACAGCCCUCAUAUGGAAAUAACACAACAGGGCAAGGCCCAUAAAUACACAAGUGGAAGUAACAAAUUUUUAAACAGUAAUGUUAGCAAAUGUAAGCCCAUCAGCAUGUAUAAAAUAUGGCCAUUUUAUUUGUGACAUACUUAUAUAUACUUAAAAAGAGUUCAUUCAAUCAAAGGUGUGUGUGUAACAUUCAAGUCACCUUAAUAUUGCAUGUAAUAAAGUUUU